rnacentral:tRNA from 2 species
UGUGGUGUAGAGCAGUUUGGUAGCUCGCCAGGCUCAUAACCUGGAGGUCGUUGGUUCAAAUCCUUCCGCCGCAA